GGGGAUAGCUUCGCGAAAGCCGGAUUAAUACCCGCAUACGACCUGAGGGUGAAAGCGGGGGAUCUUCGGACCUCGCGCUAUUGGAGCCGCCGAUGGCAGAUUAGCUAGUUGGUGGGGUAAAGGCCUACCAAGGCGACGAUCUGUAGCUGGUCUGAGAGGACGACCAGCCACACUGGGACUGAGACACGGCCCAGACUCCUACGGGAGGCAGCAGUGGGGAAUUUUGGACAAUGGGCGAAAGCCUGAUCCAGCAAUGCCGCGUGUGUGAUGAAGGCUUCGGGUUGUAAAGCACUUUGGCGGGAACGAAAAAGGACUGCGCCAAUACCACGGUUCGAUGA
rnacentral:rRNA from 1 species